ACACGUAGGGGGCGAGCGUUGUUCGGAAUCAUUGGGCGUAAAGGGCGCGCAGGCGGCGAGGCAAGUCCGGUGUGAAAGUGCUCGGCUCAACCGAGUGAUGCGCUGGAAACUGCCCUGCUUGAGUACAGGAGGGGACGUCGGAAUUCCAAGUGUAGGGGUGAAAUCUGUAGAUAUCUGGAAGAACACCGGUGGCGAAGGCGGACGUCUGGCCAUGUACUGACGCUGAGGCGCGAAGGUGCGGGGAGCGAACAGGUUUAGAUACCCUGGUAGUCCGCACAGUAAACGAUGUGCACCAGGUGGCGGGGGGUAGCCCUCGGUACCGAAGCCAACGCAUUAAGUGCACCGCCUGGGGAGUAUGCUCGCAAGGGUGAAACUCAAAUGAAUUGACGGGG
rnacentral:rRNA from 1 species